rnacentral:rRNA from 1 species
CAGUGGGGAAUCUUGCGCAAUGGGCGAAAGCCUGACGCAGCCAUGCCGCGUGAAUGAUGAAGGUCUUAGGAUUGUAAAAUUCUUUCAGCAGGGACGAUAAUGACGGUACCUGCAGAAGAAGCCCCGGCUAACUUCGUGCCAGCAGCCGCGGUAAUACGAAGGGGGCUAGCGUUGCUCGGAAUUACUGGGCGUAAAGGGCGCGUAGGCGGGUCGUUUAGUUAGAGGUGAAAGCCCAGGGCUCAACCCUGGAAUUGCCUUUAAUACUGGCGGCCUUGAGUAUGGCAGAGGUGUGUGGAACUCCGAGUGUAGAGGUGAAAUUCGUAGAUAUUCGGAAGAACACCAGUGGCGAAGGCGACACACUGGGCCAUUACUGACGCUGAGGCGCGAAAGCGUGGGGAGCAAACAGGAUUAGA